GGAGAGGUGGCAGAGUGGCCUAUUGCAUCACCUUGCUAAGGUGAAGUACCGGCAACGGUACCGGGGGUUCGAAUCCCCCCCUCUCCGCCA
rnacentral:tRNA from 2 species